CAUGCAAGUGGUAGGAAGCCGAAAGGCGACCGACCCUUCGGGGAGCUUGCACAGGUGCUGCAUGGCUGUCGUCAGCUCGUGUCGUGAGAUGUUCGGUUAAGUCCGCUAACGAGCGCAACCCUCGCUGUGUGUUAUAUGUGUCACACGGGACUGCCGGUCUUAAGCCGGAGGAAGGUGGGGAUGAUGUCAAGUCAGCAUGGCCUUUAUAUCCUGGGCUACACACACGCUACAAUGGCCAACACAAUAGGUUGCUAAGCCGCGAGGUGGCGCCAAUCCAUAAAGUUGGUCUCAGUUCAGAUUGUAGGCUGCAACCCGCCUGCAUGAAGAUGGAGUUGCUAGUAACCGCAGGUCAGCUAUACUGCGGUGAAUACGUUCCCGGGGCUU
rnacentral:rRNA from 1 species